rnacentral:rRNA from 1 species
AUGGGAGAUCCAGACGAACACGAACGUCAAGCCGUAGCCGCCGGGGAGCUUAUCUCUGCCUGCAACCCUCCUCCCACCGAGGGUAACGCCGUCGUCGGCGUGGCAAACCUGCCGCCUCCUGGAUUCCUCGCGGCCCUCCCACACGCCGGCCUGAACACCAGGGCCGUCGGCCUGGUCGAUCCCGCCAGGCAGGAGCCCAGGGGCCGCGCGCUCGGCCGGGGAGACAAGCGCCGCUCCGUCCAGGGUCUCGUCAACGAGAUCGACCACAAUUUGCCGGCCGGAGAAGCCCCGGAGGAGGGCGAGGGCAGCGCGGUGGAAGCCCCGCAGGAGACGCCCACGCAGAGGAAGCGCACGCAUCGAUCUGCCAUCAGGUCUGUGCUAAACUGGAGGAGGAAGCACAGUGGGUCCUCGACCAUGGCCAACCUGUACGACGAUGGCCAGAACAAGGAUGAAAGCACCGGGUUGGGGCUCUCCGCGAAGCGGAAGAGGAAGAGGAGCAAGUACCUCUUGCUGCCAUACACCAAUGAUCUUGACGGGCUGGAUCUCGACGAGAAGGAGGAGGAUGUCGGUGUCCGGGAGGUCUUGCUGUUGGUGCGCGGCUUCGCCAAGGACAUAUUUCAUCGGAGGUAUUUUCCUCGGGCUGCAAAGAGGUAUCUCGGAAGGCUUAGGAGCACAAUGUUCUUGCCGGAGAAUACUUUUGCAAAUGGUGUUGUUGUUCCUGAAUGUCCAGCAGAGGAUUCUUUUGCAAAAGCUACUGCAGAUGCUACAAUUGUGGUAUCUGAUUCAUCAUGUGAUUCUGAAAAGAAACAAGGCGAAGGUGCAUUCACGGGGAGCGGAGGGAAGAAUGAUCAAGAUGGAAGUGGAGGUUCUUCUAUCAAAGGGAAAGAGGUGGAGAAAGCCCCUCCACCAAAAAACCAUCUUGACCAUGGCUUACUUAUUACUCCCACUAUUCCUAUCAGGCAAGUGAGGCCAGAAGGUGUGAUAAGCCAUGUGAAACCAGGAGUUGAGGUAGAUACUGUCACAAGUGUGCAGAGGCCAACGGAAGAAAACGUUCCUCCUACAACUGGUUUGCUUCCUAUGCAUGAAGGCAUAUCUUCUCAGCCCACACAUGGAAAUGAAAACAUUGUCCAAGAACAAGAACAUAAUGCUUCUCUGCAGGUGAUGGUUCUGAAGGUACCGAACGUUCAUCCACCCCCACCUGCCCCGACAACUCAGCUGAGCAUCCCUGAAAUGAUGAGCGGGGUCAAGCACAUGAUCUCGCACCUGCAAGAUGGAGUCAAGCCCGUCCAGGAGAACCUUCUAGGCGAUUUGCAGAGGCUUCUGGCAAACCUGGACAGGGCACAACCCGGGCCUUCUAGCUCCGCGACUGCUACUUCAUAG